GAUGAACGCUGGCGGCGUGCCUAAUACAUGCAAGUCGAGCGAACAGACGAGGAGCUUGCUCCUCUGACGUUAGCGGUGGACGGGUGAGUAACACGUGGAAAACCUACCUAUAAGACUGGGAUAACUUCGGGAAACCGGAGCUAAUACCGGAUAACAUGUUGAACCGCAUGGUUCAACAGUGAAAGACGGUCUUGCUGUCACUUAUAGAUGGAUCCGCGCCGCAUUAGCUAGUUGGUAAGGCAACGGCUUACCAAGGCAACGCAGCCUAGCCGACCUGAGAGGGUUGUCGGCCACACUGGAACUGAGAAACGGUCCAGACUCCUACGGGAGGCAGCAGUAGGGGAUCGUCCGCAAUGGGCGAAAGCCUGACGGAGCAACGCCGCGUGCGUGAAGAAGGUCUUCGGAUCGUAAAACUCUGUUAUUAGGGAAGAACAAAUGUGUAAGUAACUAUGCACGUCUUGACGGUACCUAAUCAGAAAGCCACGGCUAACUACGUGCCAGCCGCCGCCGUAA
rnacentral:rRNA from 1 species